GACACUCAUUUGCAUGCGGGAAAUUCGGAGCAAAUCUCUACGAAGAACAUACCGUUGUCGCCUGCCACGCGCGGGCUGACGCGAGCCGCCCGUGAGGGUUCGACGCCAUUGGCGUCAGCAACAGGCAUCAGAAAUCUCAGGGCCCAGGCCGCUUCGUGUAUACCCUCUCGGGGGGACGACGAGGCGCGUCCUGGUGAUCCCUAUGGGAAGCCGUUGCGGAGAUUGUACAAAGUACUUGAGUGCGAUGCGCGACUUGGGGGUCACUGGCUGGGCUUUGCCCAGCUGGUGUUGUCCAAAACUCGAUUCCGAUCAUUCUGUC
rfam:Verticillium longisporum isolate VL1 genome assembly, contig: scaffold_443